CUCCCCUUUUGGGUUGUUUCUCACACUCAGAACCACAUUUUCCAUCUCAAUUGUCCCCUGUGGCUUUUCACCUCUGGCUCCAAUACCGCAUCUCCUUCCGGACAAAUUUCAAAGAGCACCUUCUUCUAGAGGUCUUUCCAAAUCCCUCCAACUACCAGUGCCCUCACUCCCUGGUAUUUAUUUUGUCUUUUCCCGUAUGUAUUCCAUGUGUAUAUUUUAUAAAGUUAGGUACCACCAGCAUCAGUAGUCUCUCCCACAGAGCCUUUACUGUUACUGUACCUUUAAGAGACUUUGGAAUCUUGUAGAGUGGCAGUUUAAACUCCCUUUGAGAAGUCAGUGAUGAGUGAAAUACGUGCCCAUGAGGAGUUUUAACUCUGACUUAUGAGCAGUCUGGGAGGAGAUGAAGAGUUUUAACUGUCAUCUCUAAAGACGUUGAGUUUUUUAUUAUCUUCAAUAAAGAGGCAGAAAGAUUGUCAUUCUGAAGAGCUACCUAUUUGUGAAUGGAGUGACUAGAACUGAGAGAGAAAACCAAUUCCCUGAGAGGAGUGAAGUUUGCUCUGUUUUGGUGAACAAAGAAGAAAAGGAUUCUUGAAAGACUUUGGAUACAAUUUUGGGAGCUUAUAGAUGGAUGGGCUGUUACCUACGUGAGAAGUCAAGGGCAACAGAGAUGGUGACUGCUGUGAUCUUCGCAGCUAAAACACUGUAAAUCAGUAUUUCUUUGUGGUAAUAUUAGUUGCAUUGCUAAUUUAGUAGGGUCACUGAUACUUAUUUAAGCCUACGAGAGUAGAAGUUUGAAAUAUAGUGAAAGAUGAAGGAACUGAGAAAGGUCAAGUGACUUACCUGGCUGAGGUCAUACAACUCCUAAGCAGGGGAGCACCCAGGUCUUAGAACUCUAACUCCAGUGUUCUUUCCAUCCCCCAGAGAAGCAAAAUGAACAGGCUUGAAACAAAACAGCCAUGUGAGAGAUGCCAUGAGGCACCAUGAAUCCUGAGCAGGAGUGGAAGUAAAUGAUGAGAAAUGAGCAAGGGAAGAUCACUGGACAGACAUGGUCAAGGAAGGCUUCAUGAAGGAGAGUGUAACCUCCUCAUGUGCCUGGGACCUAAAGGCUUCUAACAGUCUCCUGCUGAAAUCUGACAAGCAUUUUACAGAUUACCUAGUCCAAGGCCCUCAUUUUUCUUAAGGAGAAAUGGGAAAGUCUAGAACAUAUUUCAUCAGCCUGGGAAUCCCUGGUAUUAAAAAAAAAUUUUUUACAGAUUAAAAAAACCCAAAUAAAAACCUCACCAGCAGCCCCUA